UACAGAGGUCCCAAGCGUUGUUCGGAUUCACUGGGCGUAAAGGGUGCGCAGGUGGGUUGGCAAGUUCGAUGUGAAAGCCCCGGGCUUAACCCGGGAAUGGCAUUGGAAACUGCUGAUCUGGAGGGUCGGAGGGGGGACUGGAAUUCUUGGUGUAGCAGUGAAAUGCGUAGAUAUCAAGAGGAACACCAGUGGCGAAGGCGAGUCCCUGGACGAUACCUGACACUGAGGCACGAAAGCCAAGGGAGCAAACAGG
rnacentral:rRNA from 1 species